rnacentral:rRNA from 1 species
UCGAGAAUCUUCGGCAAUGGGCGCAAGCCUGACCGAGCGACGCCGCGUGGAGGACGAAGGCCUUCGGGUUGUAAACUCCUGUCGAGGGGAAGGAAGGGGCCGCGAGGCCCUUGACCGCUCCCUGGAGGAAGCACGGGCUAAGUUCGUGCCAGCAGCCGCGGUAAGACGAACCGUGCGAACGUUAUUCGGAAUCACUGGGCUUAAAGCGCGUGUAGGCGGGGCGGUGCGUCGGUCGUUGAAAUCCCCCGGCUCAACCGGGGAAGUGGCGCCGAUACGACCGCCCUGGAGCGACGUAGGGGGAACUGGAACUUCCGGUGGAGCGGUGAAAUGCGUUGAGAUCGGAAGGAACGCCCGUGGCGAAAGCGAGUUCCUGGACGUCGGCUGACGCUGAGACGCGAAAGCCAGGGGAGCGAACG